AAACUAACUAGGAUUCCCUUAGUAACGGCGAGUGAACCGGGAUGAGCUCAAAUUUGAAAUCUGGCGUCUUUCAGGCGUCCGAGUUGUAAUCUAUAGAGGCGUUUUCCGCGCCGGACCGCGUCCAAGUCUCUUGGAAUAGAGUAUCAAAGAGGGUGACAAUCCCGUACUUGACGCGACAACCGGUGCUCUGUGAUACGUUCUCAAUGAGUCGAGUUGUUUGGGAAUGCAGCUCUAAAUGGGUGGUAAAUUCCAUCUAAGGCUAAAUAUUGGCGAGAGACCGAUAGCGAACAAGUACCGUGAGGGAAAGAUGAAAAGCACUUUGGAAAGAGAGUUAAACAGCACGUGAAAUUGUUAAAAGGGAAACGAUUGAAGUCAGUCGUGUGGGAAGUAUUCAGCCGUCUCUGGCGGUGUAUUUGCUUCUCACGGGUCAACAUCAGUUUGAUCCGGUAGAAAAAGGCGGGAAGAAGGUGGCACCCUCGGGUGUGUUAUAGCUUCCUGUCAUAUGUGCCGGACCAGACUGAGGAACGCAGCUUGCAGCAAUGCCGGGGUUCGCCCACGUACAAGCUUAGGAUGUUGAC
rnacentral:rRNA from 1 species